rnacentral:rRNA from 1 species
UACGUAGGGGGCGAGCGUUGUCCGAAGUUACUGGGCGUAAAGCGCGCGUAGGCGGGGAAUUAAGUGAGAAGUGAAAGGCUGGGGCUCAACCUCAUGCAGUGCUUCUCAUACUGGUUCUCUUGAGGGCGGUAGGGAGAAGUGGAAUGGCUGGUGUAGCGGUGAAAUGCGUAGAUAUUCGCAAGAACACCAGUGGCGAAGGCGGCUCACUGGCCCGAUACUGACGCUGAGGUGCGAAAGCGUGGGGAGCAAACAGG